rnacentral:lncRNA from 1 species
GAGUAUACCAUUUGAUAACAGAGGAAGAGAAUGGAGUAAUGCAGCUACAAGCGAAAGUACACCAAUGAUUGCUGGCUCCCACUAGAAGCUAGGAAGAGGCAGGAAGGAUUCUAUCCAGAGUCUCAGAAGAAGCAAGACCCCACUGACAUCUUGAUUUCUGACUUCCAGACUCCAGAAAGCGAGAAAAUAUAUCUGUUGUUUUAAGCUAUCCAGUGUGAGGUACUUGGUUAUGGCAGCUUCAGAAAACUAAUACAACAGCAAUUUCAAUUUCUACUUUAUCUUCCUAGCCCCAAGAGUACCAUGUGGCUAUUAGAGUACAGGAUUAUGUAGGCUCUCAAAUCCCUUCCAUGGUAAAAGAAUGAUUGGGCUUCCAGCAGUGGCCAAGAAUUGCCAGACGCUUAUGAGCGCCUGCUGCGAGAUGCUUGUACAGUGAAUGCUCAAUAAAGUGGUGGCCAUUAUAACCGCAAGCAAUGAGACUACAUAAAUAGUAAGAAACGAAAUAGAACAAGGGGCAGCGGGAGCAAAGAGAGAAACAAGGGCAGCUGAGGAAGGAAGCCUCAAUUCCCCGGAGGACAUCCGCGGGCGGAGGAAAUGUGAAUCUGCAAGUCGUUCUCCCAGACCCCGCUUAACGAUUCCCGGCCCUUUCUCCACUCCCUACAGCCCUCGGACCCAGCAACAACCGGAUCCUGUGCAGGUCUUCCCUGAGUCCAACGCGAUUCUCCUGGAUAACGUCAACCAGCUGAGCGAUUCUGAGCCUGCGCGAAGCUCCUCGGCGCUUCCAGUAAUGUCACGCUGGUGCGUGGGGCGGGACUUCCUCUCACGCGCAGGAAACGAGAAGGGCUUUUCCGCCGGAAAGAGAGUGGAUUUACUAGGAAGGUGGGACGUUGGAGGGGUGGCCGCAUGGAGUGAGUACUGUCUCUGGCCACCGAGCAGAGCCAGUGACAGCAGCGUCCUGGUAGGCAGGCAGGCGUAUCAGGUUUCAGAGGAUGCGGCUGGGAACGGGAGUAGAGGUAUAUGAGCUCCCUGAAAGCACAAAGCAGUUAUUUCCAUCUUCAGAUCAUUCAGAGAUUAUGAAGGCACAAACCCUGCCUUCAAUUUGCUUAUAGUCAAGUGGAGCAGACACAAGUCAAUGAUUGCAGUAUAGCCACUGAAGUAAUCUAAAAGAGAGACGGGGUUUCGC